rnacentral:tRNA from 1 species
UCCCUGGUGGCUCAAAUGGUAAAGCGUCCGUCUGCAAUUCGGGAGACCAGGUUCGAUCCCUGGGUUGGGAA